ACGAAGGGGGCUAGCGUUGCUCGGAAUGACUGGGCGUAAAGGGCGCGUAGGCGGAUGGCACAGUCGGGCGUGAAAUUCCUGGGCUUAACCUGGGGGCUGCGUUCGAGACGUGUGGUCUGGAGUGCGGAAGAGGGUCGUGGAAUUCCCAGUGUAGAGGUGAAAUUCGUAGAUAUUGGGAAGAACACCGGUGGCGAAGGCGGCGACCUGGUCCGUGACUGACGCUGAGGCGCGAAAGCGUGGGGAGCAAACAGGA
rnacentral:rRNA from 1 species